GAUGAACGCUGGCGGCGUGCCUAAUACAUGCAAGUCGAGCGAACAGACGAGGAGCUUGCUCCUCUGACGUUAGCGGCUGACGGGUGAGUAACACGUGGAUAACCUACCUAUAAGACUGGGAUAACUUCGGGAAACCGGAGCUAAUACCGGAUAAUAUAUUGAACCGCAUGGUUCAAUAGUGAAAGACGGUUUUGCUGUCACUUAUAGAUGGAUCCGCGCCGCAUUAGCUAGUUGGUAAGGUAACGGCUUACCAAGGCAACGAUGCGUAGCCGACCUGAGAGGGUGAUCGGCCACACUGGAACUGAGACACGGUCCAGACUCCUACGGGAGGCAGCAGUAGGGAAUCUUCCGCAAUGGGCGAAAGCUUGACGGAGCAACGCCGCGUGAGUGAUGAAGGUCUUCGGAUCGUAAAACCCUGUUAUUAGGGAAGAACAAAUGUGUAAGUAACUAUGCACGUCUUGACGGUACCUAAUCAGAAAGCCACGGCUAACUACGUG
rnacentral:rRNA from 1 species